rnacentral:rRNA from 1 species
CCUACGGGAGGCAGCAGUGGGGAAUAUUGGGCAAUGGGCGCAAGCCUGACCCAGCAAUGCCGCGUGAAGGAAGAAGGCUUUCGGGUUGUAAACUUCUUUGACAGGGGAAGAGCAGAAGACGGUACCCUGAAAACAAGCCACGGCUAACUACGUGCCAGCAGCCGCGGUAAUACGUAGGUGGCAAGCGUUGUCCGGAUUUACUGGGUGUAACGGGCGUGUAGCCGGGAAGGCAAGUCAGAUGUGAAAUCCGGAGGCUCAACCUCCGAAUUGCAUUUGAAACUGUUUUUCUUGAGUACUGGAGAGGCAGACGGAAUUCCUUGUGUAGCGGUGAAAUGCAUAGAUAUCGCGCAGAACUCCGAUUGCGAAGGCAGCGUACCGGCGCCAGACUGACGCUGAGGCACGAAAGCGUGGGGAUCGAACAGGAUUAGAUACCCCAGUAGUC